rnacentral:rRNA from 1 species
GACAGAGGUGCCAAGCGUUAGGCGGAAUCACUGGGCUUAAAGCGUGUGUAGGUGGAUCGUUAAGUGCUUUGUGAAAUCCCCACGGCUCAACCGUGGAAUUGCUGGGCAUACUGGCGGUCUUGAGCCAUUCAGGGGCUACUGGAACAAACGUGGAGCGGUGAAAUGCGUAGAUAUCCGGAGGAACACCGGUGGCGAAGGCGGCUUCCUGGACCGACACUGACGCUGAGGCGCGAAAGCUAGGGGAGCAAACGGG